ensembl:lncRNA
GCAGUGCAUUCUGGGAGCAUGGUGCAAUGCGUUCUGGGCUUUGGCGUGGAUCAGAUCUGAGUGCAUCAGCGAGAUCUCGUAUUCUCCCCGAGGAUGACCGCUGGGUCACACUAAUAACCUCUGACAGCCCGUCAGGCGUGAAGAGGGUGUAGAGUAUCCACGGGGGCCGGAACACACCCCGCAUUCCCGCUCAUUCCCGCUCCUGUCCUCUCGCUCACACACACUUACAGCACGUGCGGCGGGAGGGGCCACUGGCACUAAAGUGACAUUAAUGGGGCCGUGCUGACACAACAAGGCGAGCGCAGGGACCACUUUUCUGCCUCUUCAUUGGUGAAGCUGUCGCCUCGAGUUUCACCAUGCCCUCCAUCCCUGGACCGGCCCGAUUAGGCUCGGGAUUAGGGUUUCGUCUCGGGGAAGCAGUCACGUGAUUUACUGUUGCUCCCCUCGCUGGGCUACAGGUGGCCGGGAUAAGAUGUCUACAGAACGACGUGUGGUUUAACCGCACCUCGGAUCUUAAAAUGGGCCCGAAUCCUCUACUCUGUGACAGGCAGCCACGUGCAGUGUCACCAUAUACUUCAAACGCACACACAUACACUAAAAGGCAGUUAAUUAUUAAUGGG